rnacentral:rRNA from 1 species
GAUGAACGCUGGCGGCGUGCCUAAUACAUGCAAGUCGAGCGAACAGACGAGGAGCUUGCUCCUCUGACGUUAGCGGCGGACGGGUGAGUAACACGUGGAUAACCUACCUAUAAGACUGGGAUAACUUCGGGAAACCGGAGCUAAUACCGGAUAAUAUAUUGUACCGCAUGGUUCAAUAGUGAAAGACGGUUUUGCUGUCACUUAUAGAUGGAUCCGCGCCGCAUUAGCUAGUUGGUAAGGUAACGGCUUACCAAGGCAACGAUGCGUAGCCGACCUGAGAGGGUGAUCGGCCACACUGGAACUGAGACACGGUCCAGACUCCUACGGGAGGCAGCAGUAGGGAAUCUUGCGCAAUGGGCGAAAGCCUGACGGAGCAACACCGCGUGGGUGAUGAAGGUCUUCGGAUCGUAAAACUCUGUUGUUAGGGAAGAACAAAUGUGUAAGUAACUAUGCACGUCUUGACGGUACCUAAUCAGAAAGCCCCGGCUAACUACGUG